rnacentral:tRNA from 1 species
CCGGAUGAGCUUGUCUGGCGAUGGGCUAGGACUUCAAAUCCUAGGGGCGUGAGAGCGCCAGAGGUUCGAUUCCUCCUUC